rnacentral:rRNA from 1 species
GAGGGAAACGCCCGGUUACAUUCCGAACCCGGAAGCUAAGCCUUACAGCGCCGAUGGUACUGCAGGGGGGACCCUGUGGGAGAGUAGGACGCCGCCGAAC